rnacentral:tRNA from 1 species
GUAGUUAUAGUUUAAUUAAAACAUCAGAUUGUGGAUCUAAUAAUAGAAGUCUACAGCUUCUUACCUACC